rnacentral:rRNA from 1 species
AUGUCAAUAGUUGCAAUACAAGGUCAGUUAGUUGCUUCAUUUGUUAUUAUUAUUAUUAUUACCACUGAUGUGUUUCUAGAAGAAACAAUUAUUACUCCUAAUUCAUGCUCACACAACCACUUCAUGCUCACACAAUCAUACAAGUUGAACCACAUAGUUAUUGACACAGAGAUUGCCAUGUUGCUAAUAAAAAAAUUGCAUCAUCCUUUCCUUUCAUAUACAGUAAUCAAAUCUGUUGGAGUUUACACACAAUCUGUGCUCGUAUCCUAUGCUCUUCCUGGUCAUCAACAAUGGAAAUGA